CUCAUCCACUGGCACAUUGAAUGUUUCCCUUCCAAGCACUUAAAAUCCUGUCCUGCACUGGUCAGGCCUCUGAACACCUUAACUCAUGCCACAUACCCUCAUUCAAUCACCGCUGUGAUCCCUUUCCAACACUGUCACCAGGCUGUUCGUUAUGGCGCUGAUCUACCUGUCACCAUCGUUGUGCUCAUCAGCGCAUAAAGACACUCACCUGGACUCCAUCACCUCCUUGAUUACCUGCCCUAUAUAUGUCACUCCCUUUGGUUGCUACCCCAGGUGUCAUUGUUUCUGUUUCAGUUUCCUGUAUGCGUGUUUGUAUUAUGUUUCACUUAUUUAUUAAAUGGUUUACUUCCUGAA